rnacentral:misc_RNA from 1 species
GAUGAAGAACGCAGCGAAAUGCGAUAAGUAGUGUGAAUUGCAGAAUUCAGUGAAUCAUCGAAUCUUUGAACGCACAUUGCGCCCCUUGGUAUUCCAUGGGCAUGCCUGUUCGAGCGUCAUUUGUACCUUCAAGCUCUGCUUGGUGUUGGGUGUUUGUCUCGCCUCUGCGUGUAGACUCGCCUCAAAACAAUUGGCAGCCGGCGUAUUGAUUUCGGAGCGCAGUACAUCUCGCGCUUUGCACUCAUAACGACGACGUCCAAAAGUACAUUUUUACACUCUUGACCUCGGAUCAGGUAGGGAUACCCGCUGAACUUAAGCAUAUCAAUAAGCGGAGGA